rnacentral:lncRNA from 1 species
UGAGAAGUAGAAGCAGGUUUGGGUUCUGGAGAACCACAAUAAAGAGGUUUUCAGGGGAAUGACCGAAGUCACAAAGCAAGACAGACUGAGUCAGGAUGAAAUCUGAAACAGACACCAGCAACAAACAGUUUACUGCUGUUGUUCAGUUGCCAAGUGGGUGUUUCGAUUAAAAUAGGAGAUCCGCCAAGAUCUGUUUAUAUGAACCUAUGGGAGGAGAGCUCUGAAGUGGAAAUGGCCCCUGUUCGCCUAAGACUGUUGCUAUUAUUUUUGCCAAGAGACUAUUGACUUCAAACUCUGUGAUUGAAAGACUACCACGAAUUCAAGGUAUUACAGACAACAA